AUUGAACGCUGGCGGCAGGCCUAACACAUGCAAGUCGAGCGAGAGGCGGGCGGGUGAGUAAUGUCUGGGAAACUGCCCGAUGGAGGGGGAUAACUACUGGAAACGGUAGCUAAUAACGCAUACCAUCAGAUGUGCCCAGGUGGGAUUAGCGAGUAGGUGGGGUAACGGCUCACCUAGGCGACGAUCCCUAGCUGGUCUGAGAGGAGGACCAGCAACACUGGAACUGAGACACGGUCCAGACUCCUACGGGAGGCAGCAGUGGGGAAUAUUGCACAAUGGGCGCAAGCCUGAUGCAGCCAUGCCGCGUGUGUGAAGAAGGCCUGCGGGUUGUAAAGCACUUUCAGCGGGGAGGCGUUACCCGCAGAAGAAGCACCGGCUAACUCCGUGCCAGCAGCCGCGGUAAUUC
rnacentral:rRNA from 1 species